UACGUAGGGGCAAGCGUUGUCCGGAAUCAUUGGGCGUAAAGCGCGUGUAGGCGGCUGGGUAAGUCCGCUCUGAAAGCCCGGGCUCAACCCCGGGAGGCGGGUGGAUACUGCUCAGCUCGAGUCCGGAAGAGGAGUGUGGAAUUCCUGGUGUAGCGGUGAAAUGCGCAGAUAUCAGGAGGAACACCAAUGGCGAAGGCAGCUCGCUGGAACGUACUGACGCUGAGGCGCGAAGCGUGGGAGCGAACAGGA
rnacentral:rRNA from 1 species